rnacentral:rRNA from 1 species
GCCUAACACAUGCAAGUCGGACGGAGCUUAAAGAGCUUGCUUUUUAAGCUUAGUGGCGAACGGGUGAGUAACGCGUGAGUAACCUGCCCUAGAGUGGGGGACAACAGUUGGAAACGACUGCUAAUACCGCAUAAGCCCACGGUGCCGCAUGACACUGAGGGAAAAGGAUUUAUUCGCUUUAGGAUGGACUCGCGUCCAAUUAGCUAGUUGGUGAGGUAACGGCCCACCAAGGCGACGAUUGGUAGCCGGACUGAGAGGUUGAACGGCCACAUUGGGACUGAGACACGGCCCAGACUCCUACGGGAGGCAGCAGUGGGGGAUAUUGCACAAUGGGGGAAACCCUGAUGCAGCGACGCCGCGUGGAGGAAGAAGGUUUUCGGAUUGUAAACUCCUGUCGUUAGGGACGAUAAUGACGGUACCUAACAAGAAAGCACCGGCUAACUACGUGCCAGCAGCCGCGGUAAAACGUAGGGUGCAAGCGUUGUCCGGAAUUACUGGGUGUAAAGGGAGCGCAGGCGGGAAGACAAGUUGGAAGUGAAAACCAUGGGCUCAACCCAUGAAUUGCUUUCAAAACUGUUUUUCUUGAGUAGUGCAGAGGUAGAUGGAAUUCCCGGUGUAGCGGUGGAAUGCGUAGAUAUCGGGAGGAACACCAGUGGCGAA